rnacentral:pre_miRNA from 1 species
CCUCUAUGACGCCGUUGACUUUUUAACAAAUGUUUGACCUUUCGUCUUAUUUAAAAAAUUUAUGUAAUUAUCAUUUAUUUUAUUGUGACUUGAUUUACAUCAAAUGUUCUUUAAGCAUGACGUAACUAUUUUUGUAUUUGCAUAAAAAAUUUGAAUAAGACGAAUGGUCAAACGUUAGUUAAAAAGUCAACGGCGUCAUACAUU